ensembl:lncRNA
GUCCCCUGCUCGGAAAGGGCUCUGGGGUGAGGGGAAUGGGGAAGUCCUUCCUCCUGUGCCCAUGGGGCGUGUAUUUCACCCAUCCGUGCUGGGCACUGGGAGCAGUGGGGUGGAACCAGCAGCACACGUGGUGGGCUGAGGUGUGUCUGUGUCAGAGCCCAGGGCACGUGGCUGAGACAAGACCAUAGAUGGAAUCAAGCAGCAGAGCGAGGGGAUAAAACUGGGCUGAAGCUCACUUUGGGAACCCUAGCAGAGGGUGAGCUUCAGCGUGAAAAAGGAACUGCCUGCGCUGGUGCUGGGAGGAUGCAGCCUCCACCCCUCCACCGCACGUGAUUUGGAUGCUGGAGGUCUUCUGGAGCAGUGGCCAAAGAAGGAGCCAUGAGCAUCCUGGUGGUGAAGGGCAUCCUGCCCCUGCUGCUCCUUGCCUGGCCGUCUGCUGGACUCGCUCACCAGUCUCCAGGCAUGACUUCCGUGUCCUUCGGGUCAGAUCUCACCCUUCACUGUCUGCCAAAAAGCCCUGGCAAGGAGUUGGUGUGGUGUAACACCUUAAACAAGAAGAUGGCAGAGGAAGGCACAGGGACUCAUCUACAUGAGGAAAAUGGUUCUUCCAACCUCACCUUUACGGGAUGUGACUGCAGCUCAGAGGCUCAGGAGCAGCAGCUGCUGGAGGAGGGCACAGUUAUUAAAUGCAUGUUUUGCGAGCACGGUGGGAUAUAUCUGCUGCAAGGCACAGCACUCGCUGUUUUGUUUCCUGCAGGGAACCUGCUGUGCAGGUUCAUGGUCUGGUCAGAGAAUAAGACCAUGCACGUGAGGUGGUGGACGUGUCCAGAGCCUCCCAAUGACCCCUUGAACCACAGCAAGGCACGUCACAACAACCGCUAUGGCAGCAUGAAUGCAGCCAGCACAGAGUCCAUUAUGUGUGCCGUGUCAAGCAGAAACUUCACAGGCACUGAAAAUGCCACCCAAGGGAUGGUUCCCAGUCUCAUAGCAAUCAUCUACCUGUAUGCCAUCCCGGGAUUAGUGGUUGUGACUCUUUUCUUCCUGUUUUGUAUUUUGGUGUGCCUGUGCAGAAGAAACCAAAGGAAAGCUAAAGGAACUCUUGAAAGCGUGCAUGCAGCAGAGACAAAUCAGCUCAGCACGCCUCCCCCAGCACCUCAGACCGAGGACAUGACGUAUGCAAAGCUGAUCUUUGACAGCACAGGAGCAAUACCUGCAGCCUCGGAAGUGGUGUACGCAGAAAUAAAACCACUGCAAAAGAAGUAGAGAGCUGAGGAUGGCCAACUGCUCUGCAGCACGAAGAGUGAGAAAGGAGAGACAAGCAGCUGGUGACCUGGCUGCCAUAGCUACGAUCCUUGAAAACCAGGCAUUAGCUCUUAACAAGUGCAUUGGGUGAUGGAUAUGCUGGUAGAGCCCUGGAGCAGCGUUCUUCAUUUCCUCACUGUGUCCAGAUCCAGCAUCUGCUGUGCUGGAUUUGGCUCUGCUCUGAUUCACACACUUGAAACAUGACAAGCAAAGGUAUAAACGCAUCGUUUGCUGUGGAGAGGUGCAGCAUGGAUACAUCCAGAGCAAACCAGUGACCGGCCGCCAGCCUGAUGGAACCCCAUUCACCCUCUGAGCCUGACAAGUCAGCCAGUUGCUCACCUAUAAUGUUUUAUUUUUUGCUAGCUCUAUGCUGGACAUUUUGUCUGGAAGGAAACAGUGUCCAAAGCCUUACUGAAACCCCAAAAAGUUAACAUUGACUGGCUUCACUUGGUCAACCAGAUAGGUAGCCUUGUUGUAUGAGGAAAUCAAGUUAAUCCAACAGGACCUAUGUAAUAUAUGUGUGUGUGUGUAUAUAUAUAUAAAAUAUCUUUUCUUUCUCCCUUUUUUCUUAGUAAAUAGUUUAUAUCUCAAUCCACC